UAGAGUUUGAUCAUGGCUCAGGACGAACGCUGGCGGCGUGCCUAAUACAUGCAAGUAGAACGCUGAAGAGAGGAGCUUGCUCUUCUUGGAUGAGUUGCGAACGGGUGAGUAACGCGUAGGUAACCUGCCUUGUAGCGGGGGAUAACUAUUGGAAACGAUAGCUAAUACCGCAUAACAAUGGAUGACACAUGUCAUUUAUUUGAAAGGGGCAAUUGCUCCACUACAAGAUGGACCUGCGUUGUAUUAGCUAGUAGGUGAGGUAAUGGCUCACCUAGGCGACGAUACAUAGCCGACCUGAGAGGGUGAUCGGCCACACUGGGACUGAGACACGGCCCAGACUCCUACGGGAGGCAGCAGUAGGGAAUCUUCGGCAAUGGGGGCAACCCUGACCGAGCAACGCCGCGUGAGUGAAGAAGGUUUUCGGAUCGUAAAGCUCUGUUGUAAGUCAAGAACGGGUGUGAGAGUGGAAAGUUCACACUGUGACGGUAGCUUACCAGAAAGGGACGGCUAACUACGUGCCAGCAGCCGCGGUAAUACGUAGGUCCCGAGCGUUGUCCGGAUUUAUUGGGCGUAAAGCGAGCGCAGGCGGUUUGAUAAGUCUGAAGUUAGAGGCUGUGGCUCAACCAUAGUUCGCUUUGGAAACUGUCAAACUUGAGUGCAGAAGGGGAGAGUGGAAUUCCAUGUGUAGCGGUGAAAUGCGUAGAUAUAUGGAGGAACACCGGUGGCGAAAGCGGCUCUCUGGUCUGUAACUGACGCUGAGGCUCGAAAGCGUGGGGAGCGAACAGGAUUAGAUACCCUGGUAGUCCACGCCGUAAACGAUGAGUGCUAGGUGUUGGAUCCUUUCCGGGAUUCAGUGCCGCAGCUAACGCAUUAAGCACUCCGCCUGGGGAGUACGACCGCAAGGUUGAAACUCAAAGGAAUUGACG
rnacentral:rRNA from 1 species